GUGCCAGCCGCCGCGGUAAUACGUAGGUGGCAAGCGUUGUCCGGAAUCAUUGGGCGUAAAGAGCGCGUAGGUGGCUUGUCAGGUCUGAUGUGAAAUCUCGGGGCUCAACCCCGAACGUGCAUCGGAAACCGGCUUGCUAGAGUCUGGGAGAGGAGAGUGGAAUUCCUGGUGUAGCGGUGAAAUGCGUAGAUAUCAGGAGGAACACCGGUAGCGAAGGCGGCUCUCUGGAACAGUACUGACGCUGAGGCGCGAAAGCUAGGGGAGCGAACAGGAUUAGAAACCCCCGUAGUCC
rnacentral:rRNA from 1 species